UCUCGGUCCCCGUACGGCGGUACCUCUCCCAACUCCUCCAGGGCAGGAAUGCAGCAAAGGUAAGAGAGCUCUUCCGGGUGUGCGGGGGCCUUUUCAC
rnacentral:SRP_RNA from 1 species